CUACAAGAUGGUGCUGAUCUGAUGCACAGAGAAGGGGAGGGGAGAUGAAGGCCUGGAGGAUGAUGGGCUGAACUUGGGCUGGCAUCAAAUCUUUGAAACCUGAGGGGGCCAGAGACCUGGAAGGAUGUGCUGUGUGUCUUCUUAGGAUAAACAUCUUUUGGCAACUUGUAAGGUUUCUUUUCUGGGAGCUGCUAUCACUGAAUACAUAAAGAAAUUGAGCCUAUAUGAUUUCAAUCUUCACCUUCUGAUGCUGAUGAAACAGGAUUCUAUGCAGUUUUCCACAGGGAGAAGCAGCAGGCUGAAGUGGCUCUUUAGGGAGACACAUACCUCCACAGGAAGAGCAGUCUAGAUUGUUUUAGCACAUUCCACUUAAGGAUUGCAGUGUGACAGCAGAGAAAAUCCUCUCCAGUCAAGUAAUUGCAUCCAUUUCAUCUUCCCAGCCCUCCUCUAGAUGGGAGGUGGAGGACAGUGGGGACCCCAGCCAGAGCCUGGGGACUUGGCUGCCUUGGAACCAGAACCUGGCCCCUCAGAGGAGUUGCAGAAUUUCGAUAGAGGAGUGGCAGGAGGUGUACUGGCUGAAGAGGAGGCCCAAGAGGAUCAUUUCCCCCUGUGUUUUACCAAGGAACUCCUUUUCAUACAUCAAAACUGAGCUUAUCACCUCUACCCUGAAGUCAUCCUGGACAUCACUGGUCCCAGUUAAUCACUCACUUAUCUUUGCCAUCCUUGACCUGGGAAGAGAACGUUGCCCUCAUUGGUCUGGAAUCAGCAGGUACCUCAUGGCUGGAGGUGUAUUUUCAGACUCCUUUGGCAUCUGGUGAGGCCUGUGGAUUCAUUCUCAGAAUCACAUUUUUAAAUGCACAUAAUAAAAUACAUAGAAUUGCAAAGGAAGUUAAUUAUAUUGAAAUACAGUUAUCAAAAAUAUAAAUAAAACAAGUAUGUGGUACAGUCAUAUGUGUGCUUCUUUAUUAAGUCAUUACAAAGCAAGAUCUAUUUGGAGGUCUAAUAACUGUCAUAUGCUUGAAAAAAUCCUUAACAAUCAUAAUAUAUUAAAAAAUCUGAUUUCUACUUUGGCAAAUCAUAGAUAUUGCUGAAACUGUGGUUUAUUGCCUGCAUUCAUAAUUGAAGGAAAUGCUAGAGUUCAGUGAGAAGGUUGUGAAAAUAAAGAGAGCCUUUUUUUCUCAUCAAG
rnacentral:lncRNA from 10 species